AUGGAGGUAAUAUUUUCUGCUGCUAUGGGUGAGCUUGCCAGUAGAUCCAUAUCUUUCCUGGUGGGUAGAUACCUGAAGCAGCGGACAGCGGCGACAACCGAGGAGGAGAGGCUCCACAGCCUGCAACGGUUGCUACUGCGGCUUCAUGUCGUCGUUGAGGAGGCAGAUGACCGGCUCAUCACAAACCAGGCCAUGCUGCAUCAACUCAGCAUACUGAGACAGGAGAUGUACAGGGGGUAUUACACCCUCGAUAUGUUCAAUUGCCGAGCACAUGAAGAUGACAGGACAAAAGAUUACUCUUUUGCCCCAUCUAAGUUCAACCCUGCAAAGCGUGUAUGUUUCUGCAGUGGCAACAGUGAAGGUGCAGCACAAGCUGAGCUGCUGGAGCAAGUUCAUGGCAGCAUGCAGAACACCAUUGAAGAUGUGAGUGAGUUCAUCAUAUUUCUAAACAGUUACCCACGUCUGCACCGUCAACCGUACAACAUGUAUCUGCUGCUGGACAAAUGCAUGUUUGGACGACAAACGGAGAUGGAACUUGUGAUGAACUGCCUGUUGCAAGCUGAGACUGCUCUUGGUGCUGCUGAUCAUUUGGCUGUAUUGCCAAUCGUCGGUCCCAGGAAAGUUGGAAAGAGCACCCUGGUCGAGCAUGUAUGCAACGAUGAAAGGGUACGCAACCACUUCUCUCAAUUUUUGUUUUUCAAUGGAGAUGUUCUUAAAGACGCAAGUGUAGAGACCCUAAGAGAUGGAGGUAGAAUCAAGCAUCAAAACCGUGGGAUGGGCGGUGGAAGGACAUUGAUCAUCAUUGAGCUACUUCUGGAUAUUGAGGAGCCUGUAUGGAAGAGGUUGUAUUCAGCUGCGAAAAGUCGCAUCACGAGUGGAAGUAAGAUGAUAAUUGUGAGCCGCUCUGACAAGAUCGCAAGCCUUGGAACCACAGAACCCCUCAGAUUACAGUUCUUAACUCAGGAAGCAUACUGGUACUUCUUCAAGGUGCGUUCCUUUGGGAGCACGAGAGCAGAGGACCACCCGAAGCUCGCAUCAAUGGCCAUGGAGACGGCCAAUUUGACAAGUGGGUGCUUCAUGUCUGCAAACAUCAUCAGUGGAAUACUGAAACCAAAUUUUAACCCCCAUUUCUGGAGCAUGGUCCUUGCAGCCCUCAGGAAUUUGAACAAGACAAACAUCUCAGUGUAUGGGGAUCGUUUCACUCUUCCUUGGCAGAUGGUGGAGCCAACAUAUCUCAGUCUCAGGAGGGUGAAUAAAUGUGUCGUGUUGUUUCUUGACUACGAGACAUGUUCUGCUGAAACUGGACCUGAAGCUCUCAGGAUGAUGAGCGCGCAAGAUCUUCUCUUUGGAAGUGUGAGGCUUCGAGGGAAAUUCAACGUCCAUGCAUGGACAUCCCACCUGCCGCCUCACUACAGCUACAUCGUUCACUGUGAGGUACAGAGGCCACAUCGCAUGGUCACAAGUAACAAGCGUUUUCAGAAGAGUAGCGGCUGA
rnacentral:rRNA from 1 species